UUGACUUGAUGGUUGGAACUGUUACCGUCAUGUGUGAAGAAGUGGAUGGAUCUGCUACCAUCAUGAUAUGUUACCAGCAUUGAAUUGCUGUUUAUUACCUACUGCUGUUUGUAUGGUAGCAAAAGAGGAUCGCAUGAUGUUGGGACACAGCAACAGUCAUAAUUAUGAACCAGUUGCCAAGCAUCUGAAUUUUGAUCACAUGACCAUGGGUAUGCUACAAAGGUCGUCCAAAGUAGCAAGGAAACCUACAGAAUGAAGCAUCUUUUAUUGUCUCAAAAAUAAAAUAAAAACAAUAUGAAAUGAAUCCUAAAGGAAUUUUAAUAUACUUUGAUAAAGUGAUGAGGAGAAGAAAAGCUUUUCUUAUACUGCGGUAUUCCAUACUAAAAAAAAAAAAAAGCUUCCUGACAGCAAAAUGAUUAUGAACUGCCUGGAGGCAUAGCUUUUCUUUUAAUAAAAUGUUGAAAAUUCAAACCUUCAAGUAU